rnacentral:rRNA from 1 species
GACGAACCGUGCGAACGUUGUUCGGAAUCACUGGGCUUAAAGGGCGCGUAGGCGGGCGGCCCAGUCUGUGGUGAAAGCCCCCGGCUCAACCGGGGAACGGCCGCGGAUACUGGCCGCCUCGAGGGGGGUAGGGGCGCGCGGAACGCCGGGUGGAGCGGUGAAAUGCGUUGAUAUCCGGCGGAACUCCGGUGGCGAAAGCGGCGCGCCGGGCCCCGCCUGACGCUGAGGCGCGAAAGCCAGGGGAGCGAACGGG